rnacentral:rRNA from 1 species
AACGCGAAGAACCUUACCAAAUCUUGACAUCCCGAUGACAGACUGUGUAAAGCAGUUUCUCUUCGGAGCAUCGGUGACAGGUGGUGCAUGGUUGUCGUCAGCUCGUGUCGUGAGAUGUUGGGUUAAGUCCCGCAACGAGCGCAACCCUUGUCUUUAGUAGCCAGCAUUUAGGAUGGGCACUCUAGAGAGACUGCCAGGGAUAACCUGGAGGAAGGUGGGGAUGACGUCAAAUCAUCAUGCCCCUUAUGAUUUGGGCUACACACGUACCACAAUGGCUGAAACAAAGGGAAGCGAAGCUGUGAAGUGGAGCAAAUCCCAAAAUACAGUCUCAGUUCGGAUUGUAGGCUGCAACUCGUCUACAUGAAGCUGGAAUCGCUAGUAAUCGCGAAUCAGAAUGUCGCGGUGAAUACGUUCCCGGGUCUUGUACACACGC